rnacentral:rRNA from 1 species
GAUUUUAAUGAAAGUCUAAUGUCAAGUGAGAAGGAAUGUGGGAAUCCUCGGCCACCGUAUAUGCUUCAAGCUUUUAGUGACUAUCUAUUUGAAUGUGGCCUAGACGGAGUUGAGUUCUUGGGAGAUCAGUUUACAUGGAGACAUGGUGAUAUCUGGGAGAGACUGGAUCGAGUGGUAGGGAAUGAGGAAUGAUCAACAAAGUUUCCACAUGCAGCGGUUGUUCACGAGAACCAUGUGCACUCUGAUCAUCUGCAGCUGAUGUUGGACAUGGAUUAUUAUGAUGGAUCUCAGUUCAGGAAAUCGUCCUGCAAAAAGUUUGAGUCCCGCUGGUUACUUGAAGAAACAACAAACACAAUCAUUAAUAUGGCGUGGGAAAAAGUGAAGUUAGCUAGUAUGGGACCGUCCUCAGCUGAUAGGACAAAGGCGGUACAUGCAAAUUUGCACCAAUGGGACAAAGUUGUCUUAAAAGGUCCAAAGAAGCAGGUGGGUGAAUUGAAAAAGGAACUUACAAAACUUAGACGUGGGGUUUUGUCUCACGAUUCCAUUGCUAGGAAGAAAGAAAAUCUUCUUCUAUUGGAGAAUAUUAUGGAGCAAGAGGAGAUCUUUUGGCUUCAAAGAGGCAGGGCAGAAUCAUUGUCACAUGGUGAUAGAAACAUGAAGUUUUUCCACAAUGUGGCCAUAGCAAGAAAGAAACGAAAUUGUAUAAAGAAGCUGCUCGAUGACACGGAAGUGUGA